rnacentral:SRP_RNA from 1 species
GCUGGCAUGGUGGUGCAUGCCUGUAAUCCCAGCUACUUGGAGGCUGAGGCAGGAGAGUCGCUUGAACCCAGGAGACAGAGGCUGCAGUGAGCUGAGAUCAUGCCACUGCAUUCCAGCCUGGGUGACAGAACGAGACUCUGUCUCUA